UACAGGGGUGCAACAGUUGCUACGGAAUUAUUGGCGUAAAGCGCGCGUAGGCGGAUUGCUAAGUCAGGGGUGAAAUCCUGGAGCUCAACUCCAGAACUGCCUUUGAUUACUGGCGACCUUGAGUCCGGAGAGGUGAGUGGGAACUGCGAGUGUAGAGGUGAAAUUCGUAGAUAUUCGCAAGAACACCAGUGGCGAAGGCGGCUCA
rnacentral:rRNA from 1 species